AUUGAACGCUGGCGGCAUGCCUUACACAUGCAAGUCGAACGGCAGCACGGGAGCAAUCCUGGUGGCGAGUGGCGAACGGGUGAGUAAAGUAUCGGAACGUGCCCAGUCGUGGGGGAUAACGUAGCGAAAGCUACGCUAAUACCGCAUACGAUCUAUGGAUGAAAGCGGGGGAUCGCAAGACCUCGCGCGAUUGGAGCGGCCGAUAUCAGAUUAGGUAGUUGGUGGGGGAAAGGCCCACCAAGCCAACGAUCUGUAGCUGGUCUGAGAGGACGGCCAGCCACACGGGAACUGGGACACGGUCUAGACUCCUACGGGAGACAGCAGUGGGGAAUUUUGGACAAUGGGCGAAAGCCUGAUCCAGCCAUUACGCGUGCAGGAUGAAGGCCCUCGGGUUGUAAACUGCUUUUGUACAGAACGAAAAGGUUUCUACUAAUACUAGGAGCUCAUGACGGUACUGUAAGAAUAAGCACCGGCUAACUACGUGCCAGCAGCCGCGGUAA
rnacentral:rRNA from 1 species